ACGGGCCAUGGAAGAUGAGGCCUAGUCCCUGCAAAAGCCGGGGACUAAAGUACCGGGGAAGGCCCAGGAGAAGACUGUGUGGCCAGGGAGGAGAGAAAAAACCAACCAAGGGGGAAGAGAUAGGAGGAAAAACAAUGAAU